UACGUAGGGUGCAAGCGUUGUCCGGAAUUAUUGGCGUAAAGAGCUCGUAGGCGGUCUGUCGCGUCUGCCUGUGAAAACUCAGGGCUUAACCCUGAGCUUGCAGUGGGUACGGGCAGACUAGAGUGGCGGUAGGGGAGACUGGAAUUCCUGGUGUAGGCGGUGAAAUGCGCAGAUAUCGAGGAGGAACACCCGGUGGCGAAGGCGGGUCGUCUG
rnacentral:rRNA from 1 species